rnacentral:lncRNA from 1 species
GUGACUUUGCCUUUGGAAUCCUCAGAUGCCGCUUUCCAUUACGACAGCGCCACCUGCCGGACGGAGCUGCGAGCCCAUGCAUGGAAGAACUGCCUCUCAAUCACUCUCAAGAGAUCCUUGCAGGAACAGGCUGGAGCCCAGAGACUUUGAUUUCCCCAUCUCACACCCCCACUUCAGGGUUGGUUAGCGGAAAACCGACUACCAAACGGCCGGGAACUGCUGAAUGUAAAUUCUGUGCUCAAGAACUCACCUUGUCCCGUCCUCAGACUAUUUCAGGACGUUUGUUUAUUUUUAUUUCUUUAUGAGGCAAGGUCUUGCUAUGUAGGCAAAGCUGGCCUCUAAGUCAUCAUUCUUCAUCUUCAGCCUCCCAAAAUCUGAGAUUAUAGGCAUACACCGUCACCACACUCCCACAGUUAGGUCCUCUCGGUUUUGCAUGAGAAAGUGGUGCUGGAGAGAUGGCUCAGCAGUUAAGAUCAUUGACUGCUCUUCCCGAAGUCCUGAGUUCAAUUCCCAGCAACCACAUGGUGGCUCACAACCAUCUUUUAUGGGAUCUGAUGCUUCUUCUAGUGUGUCUGAAGACAGUUGCAGUGUACUCAUAUACAUAAAAAUAAAUAAAUCUUUUUUUAAAGUAGCAA